GGAUGUGCUCGCGGCCUAUCAGCUUGUUGGUGGGGUAAUGGCCUACCAAGGCUUCGACGGGUAGCCGGCCUGAGAGGGUGACCGGCCACACUGGGACUGAGACUCGGCCCAGACUCCUACGGGAGGCCGCAGUGGGGAAUAUUGGACAAUGGGCGGAAGCCUGAUCCAGCAACGCCGCGUGAGGGAUGACGGCCUUCGGGUUGUAAACCUCUUUCACCUCCGACGAAGCGAAAGUGACGGUAGGGGGAGAAGGAGCACCGGCCAACUACGUGCCCGCAGCCGCGG
rnacentral:rRNA from 1 species